CGCUCACAAAAAAACGGGGUGGGUAAUCUUUUUAUAACAUUUUUGGAAAACGUCAAAAUCAAUUGUCAACUAAAACACCUUCCUCGGCUAAACGCCGCUUGGGGAGCCGAUUUCCUUUGCGUCCUGGCAUUUGCGCAUUUCCGCUUCCGGCCACUGGUUCGCCUACUUCCGCCGCAAGGCUCAAAUCGUGGUAAUUCUCGAAUUUGUUGCUGCCACAAAAUUAUGACUGCGACUCGAGGCGGUAAUUACUGUAUUAUAAAUGAGGGCGUGAAUGAUAAAUUUGCGGAUGGAGCGCCGGUUGAGGUGCUGAUUGAGGAGGCGUAAGUCGAAGCAAAUAUUUCGACCCCUAAGUAGAACUUGAUUAAAUGGAAAUACAUUAGAAUUCGGCAUGAAAGCGGAAUAUAAUAUAUUAUAUUUUGAUUUAAUAGGACAACUGUUAUUCAUAUUUAAGCAUUAGAAAGCCUUUCUAAUUUUAACCUAUUACCACAUCAUAUAUUUAAAGUCUUUCCCUCGGCACUCGCCAACCAACUUCGCCAUAUCCUGUCAUAUACACGGCUGAUAAUCGAAUCCGACUUUUCAACACCCAAGCGAAUUAUGGAGUUCACGUGAGAGGGCGUCGAAAGGAUGGGAAAAUGAAAGCGGGCAAUUUAUUGGACCUGAAAUGGCGGGAGAACGCAAGGGGCUGGGGAUGAAAUCAGCUCAGCAGCUCAGCAAUUGCAAUUAAAACAUGCACAUGGCAUUAAUUUAGAGGAUGCGACACCUGAGGGCAGCUCACUCGAACAUAAAUCCUCCGAGAGAAUGCGGUGCGGGGGAUGCGGACGAGUGGUCAGCUAACCAAAAAUGGCCACGACACGAUGGCUGAAGCGAUAAUUUGCAAUUAUGUGGGGAGGUUACCCGAAAAAAAAGUGCAGGGGGAGUGGAAAAACAACAAGUGGAAAAGUGGUUUAAAUAAAUUGCAGCAGAGCAGA